rnacentral:rRNA from 1 species
GACGAACGCUGGCGGCGUGCCUAAUACAUGCAAGUUGAGCGAUGAAGAUUGGUGCUUGCACCAAUUUGAAGAGCAGCGACCGGGUGAGUAACGCGUGGGGAAUCUGCCUUUGAGCGGGGGACAACAUUUGGAAACGAAUGCUAAUACCGCAUAACAACUUUAAACAUAAGUUUUAAGUUUGAAAGAUGCAAUUGCAUCACUCAAAGAUGAUCCCGCGUUGUAUUAGCUAGUUGGUGAGGUAAAGGCUCACCAAGGCGAUGAUACAUAGCCGACCUGAGAGGGUGAUCGGCCACAUUGGGACUGAGACACGGCCCAAACUCCUACGGGAGGCAGCAGUAGGGAAUCUUCGGCAAUGGACGAAAGUCUGACCGAGCAACGCCGCGUGAGUGAAGAAGGUUUUCGGAUCGUAAAACUCUGUUGGUAGAGAAGAACGUUGGUGAGAGUGGAAAGCUCAUCAAGUGACGGUAACUACCCAGAAAGGGACGGCUAACUACGUG